rnacentral:rRNA from 1 species
CCCUACGGGGGGCAGCAGUAGGGAAUCUUCCACAAUGGGCGAAAGCCUGAUGGAGCAACGCCGCGUGGGUGAAGAAGGUCUUCGGAUCGUAAAACCCUGUUGUUAGAGAAGAAAGUGCGUGAGAGUAACUGUUCACGUUUCGACGGUAUCUAACCAGAAAGCCACGGCUAACUACGUGCCAGCAGCCGCGGUAAUACGUAGGUGGCAAGCGUUAUCCGGAUUUAUUGGGCGUAAAGGGAACGCAGGCGGUCUUUUAAGUCUGACGUGAAAGCCUUCGGCUUAACCGGUGUAGUGCAUUGGAAACU